GAAGUGUGGACGCCAGUCUGCAUGGAGCCGACCUUGAAAUACCACCCUUUAAUGUUUGAUGUUCUAACGUGGACCCGUAAUCCGGGUUGCGGACAGUGUCUGGUGGGUAGUUUGACUGGGGCGGUCUCCUCCUAAAGAGUAACGGAGGAGCACGAAGGUUGGCUAAUCCUGGUCGGACAUCAGGAGGUUAGUGCAAUGGUAUAAGCCAGCUUGACUGCGAGCGUGACGGCGCGAGCAGGUGCGAAAGCAGGUCAUAGUGAUCCGGUGGUUCUGAAUGGAAGGGCCAUCGCUCAACGGAUAAAAGGUACUCCGGGGAUAACAGGCUGAUACCGCCCAAGAGUUCAUAUCGACGGCGGUGUUUGGCACCUCGAUGUCGGCUCAUCACAUCCUGGGGCUGAAGUAGGUCCCAAGGGUAUGGCUGUUCGCCAUUUAAAGUGGUACGCGAGCUGGGUUUAGAACGUCGUGAGACAGUUCGGUCCCUAUCUGCCGUGGGCGCUGGAGAAUUGAGGGGGGCUGCUCCUAGUACGAGAGGACCGGAGUGGACGCAUCACUGGUGUUCGGGUUGUCAUGCCAAUGGCACUGCCCGGUAGCUAAAUGCGGAAGAGAUAAGUGCUGAAAGCAUCUAAGCACGAAACUUGCCCCGAGAUGAGUUCUCCCUGACUCCUUGAGAGUCCUGAAGGAACGUUGAAGACGACGACGUUGAUAGGCCGGGUGUGUAAGCGCAGCGAUGCGUUGAGCUAACCGGUACUAAUGAACCGUGAGGCUUAACCUUACAACGCCGAAG
rnacentral:rRNA from 1 species